rnacentral:rRNA from 1 species
AUUAUAAUGUCUGACAAUCGGAAUGAGAAUAAUUUAAAUCCCUUAUUGAGGAUCCAUUGGAGGGUAAGUCUGGUGCCAGCAGUUGUGGUAAUACCAGCUCCAAUAGCGUAUAUUAAAGUUGUUGCGGUUAAAAAGCUCGUAGUUGGAUUUCUGGCUUGGGAUGCCUGGCCCGCUCCAGAUGGAGUGUGUGCUGGAUGCAUUUUGAGUCAUCCUUCUGGAACGCAUUCUUGUCGUUUGUUCGUCGAGGGUGAAUACCAGAUCUUUUAUUUUGAAGAAAUUAGAGUGUUCAAAGCAGGUUUUUUGCUCUGAAUACAUUAGCAUGGAAUAAUAACACAGGACUCUAGUUCUAUUUUGUUGGUUUUUAGGACGUGAGUAAUGAUUGAUAGGGAUAGUUGGGGAUGCUCGUAUUCAAUGGCCAGAGGUGAAAUUCGCGGAUUCAUUGAAGACGAACUUAUGUGAAAGCAUUCAUCAAGGAUGUCUUCUUUAAUCAAGAACGAAAGUUGGGGGAUUGAAGACGAUUAGAUACCGUCGUAGUCUCAACCAUAAACUAUGCCAACUAGGGAUUGGCAGACGUUGUUUAUUGACUCUGUCAGCACCUUAUGAGAAAUCAAAGUCUUUGGGUUCCGGGGGGAGUAUGGUCAUAAGGCUGAAACUUAAAGGAAUUAACGGAAGGGCACCACCAGGGGUGGAGCCUGCGGCUUAAUUUGACCCAAUAUGGGAAAACUCACCGGGUCCGGAUAUGGCGAGGAUUGACAGAUUGAAGAUCUUUCUUGAUUCUAUGGGUGGUGGUGCAUGGCCGUUCUUAGUUGGUGGAGUGAUUUGUUUGGUUUAUUCCGUUAACGAACGAGACCUCAGCCUGCUAAAUAGUGGCACUAAUCCUUUUGGAUUGGGAGCAACUUCUUAGAGGGACUAUGUGUUUUUAGCACAUGGAAGUUUGAGGCAAUAACAGGUCUGUGAUGCCCUUAGAUGUCUCGGGCUGCACGCGCGCUACACUGUUGCAUUCAGCGAGUUUAUAAUCCUUGACCGGAAGGUCCGGGUAAUCUUUGAAAUUGCAACGUGAUGGGGCUAGAUUGUUGUAAUUAUUAAUCUUUAACGAGGAAUCCCUAGUAAACGCAUGUUAUUAACGUGCAUUGAUUACGUCCCUGCCCUUUGUAUAUACUGCCCGUCGCUCCUACCGAUUGAAUGAUCCGGUGAAACCUCAGGAUUGGCACUAAUGCAAUGGUUUUCAUUGCUUGGAGCUUAAGAAUUUGGUUAAACCUUAUCAUUU